CAGAGGGUGAGAGCCCCGUGUUCGGGCGGAUGCCUUCGCCGUGUGAAGCUCCUUCGACGAGUCGAGUUGUUUGGGAAUGCAGCUCAAAACGGGAGGUAAAUUUCUUCCAAAGCUAAAUACCGGCCGGAGACCGAUAGUGCACAAGUAGAGUGAUCGAAAGAUGAAAAGCACUUUGGAAAGAGAGUCAAACAGCGCGUGAAAUUGUUAAAAGGGAAGCGCUUGCGGUCAGAACUUGGCCGCCGUUGCUCGGGGAGGUCUCGCGCCUCCCUCGCUCUUCGGCGGCUGGGCCAGCAUCGGUUCGGGCGGCUCGAGAAAGGUCGCGGGAACGUAGCUCCCUCCGGGGAGUGUUAUAGCCCGCGGCGCAAUAGGGCCCGCCUGGACCGAGGUCUGCGCAU
rnacentral:rRNA from 1 species